rnacentral:rRNA from 1 species
AACAAACGCUGGCGGCGUGCCUAAUACAUGCAAGUCGAACGGGAAAAGGCUUCGGCCGAGUACUAGUGGCGCACGGGUGAGGAACACGUGGGUAAUCUGCCUUCGAGUGGGGGAUAACUAUCCGAAAGGAUGGCUAAUACCGCAUCUGACCACAGCAUCUCAGGAUGCCGGGGUAAAAGCAGCAAUGCGCUUGAAGCUGAGCCCGCGCGGGAUUAGCUAGUUGGUAGGGUAAUGGCCUACCAAGGCUUUGAUCUCUAACUGGUCUGAGAGGAUGAUCAGUCACACUGGAACUGAGACACGGUCCAGACUCCUACGGGAGGCAGCAGUAGGGAAUAUUGCGCAAUGGAGGAAACUCUGACGCAGCGACGCCGCGUGAGCGAUGAAGGCCUUCGGGUCGUAAAGCUCUGUUGCAAGGGAAAAAGAAAGUGAUUGUACCUUGCGAGAAAGGAUCGGCUAACUUCGUGCCAGCAGCCGCGGUAACAC